UGCUCUGUAUCUAUGUACUGUUGCCUCAUCGUUCAGACCCUGGGCUUGAAGAAAAACUGAGGGGAAAACAAGAAAAAUGUCAUCACCCUUCUGAAAUAUGGCCAAGGAAGUUACACAGAACUUCCCCAACAUCCCCUCCCAAAUUGAUAUGGAACCUUCAAAAACACAUGGAGCAACUGCGAAAAGAAAUGUCUGAGGAUAUACUAAAAAUGUCUGAGUUCAAACAAAGCCAACAACUGCUUCAUGUGUGCCACUGAUGAAGAACCUGGAUGUGGCCCAGACUGACUGGGAAUGAAGACACCAGAGUUCAACAGAGUAAAGAACACAAACUGGAAGUGCAGUGUUGUUGAAAAUGUAUGCUAUACCCCAUCCACAGUGAAGAGGCUCUGACAUGUACAUCAACCAGGGACAAAGAGAAAGUUAACACUGUAAAAUGUUUCAUACUUAAAUGAAGUUCAGUUUCUGUUGACAUGUUGGAAAUUAUUAAAGGUCUACAAUUUGUUUAAUUUGUCAAUAUGACAUUUUUAUUCAUUGAUUUACUGGCCACCAUGACUGUGGUUAGAUGAUCAGAAUAUGUAUUGACCAGUA